CACACACACAUACAGACACAUACAUACAGAGACAUACACACACAUAAAGACACAUACAUACAGAGACACACACACAUAUAUACACACACAUACACAACAUAUUUUAGUCACCCUCCUGUUUCCUACCUUUUAGGUGCAGGUGGGUGACAUUCCCUGGGGUCCAGUGGUGGCUCAGGCUGGUGGGAGUCAGAGUUCCCACUCUGACUCCCUCCUCCUUCCUCCC